rnacentral:rRNA from 1 species
UACGUAGGUGGCAAGCGUUGUCCGGAUUUACUGGGCGUAAAGAGCGCGCAGGCGGCCGAGUAAGUCGAAUGUGAAAGCCCCCCGGCUCAACUGGGGAAGGUCAUUCGAUACUGUUCGGCUUGAAGAUAGGAGAGGGAAGCGGAAUUUCAGGUGUAGUGGUGAAAUGCGUAGAUAUCUGAAGGAACACCAGUGGCGAAGGCGGCUUUCUGGCCUAUUCUUGACGCUGAGGCGCGAAAGCUAGGGGAGCGAACGGG